UGGGGAAUAUUGGACAAUGGGCGAAAGCCUGAUCCAGCCAUGCCGCGUGUGUGAAGAAGGUCUUCGGAUUGUAAAGCACUUUAAGUUGGGAGGAAGGGCAGUAAGCGAAUACCUUGCUGUUUUGACGUUACCGACAGAAUAAGCACCGGCUAACUCUGUGCCAGCAGCCGCGGUAAUACAGAGGGUGCAAGCGUUAAUCGGAAUUACUGGGCGUAAAGCGCGCGUAGGUGGUUCGUUAAGUUGAAUGUGGAAGCCCCGGGCUCAACCUGGGAACUGCAUCCAAAACUGGCGAGAUAGAGGAGGGCAGAGGGUGGUGGAAUUUCCUGUGUAGCGGUGAAAUGCGUAGAUAUAGGAAGGAACACCAGUGGCGAAGGCGACCACCUGGGCUCAUACUGACACUGAGGUGCGAAAGCGUGGGGAGCAAACAGG
rnacentral:rRNA from 1 species